GACGAACGCUGGCGGCGUGCCUAAUACAUGCAAGUAGAACGCUGAAGGAGGAGCUUGCUUCUCUGGAUGAGUUGCGAACGGGUGAGUAACGCGUAGGUAACCUGCCUGGUAGCGGGGGAUAACUAUUGGAAACGAUAGCUAAUACCGCAUAAUAGUAGAUGUUGCAUGACAUUUGCUUAAAAGGUGCAAUUGCAUCACUACCAGAUGGACCUGCGUUGUAUUAGCUAGUUGGUGAGGUAACGGCUCACCAAGGCAACGAUACAUAGCCGACCUGAGAGGGUGAUCGGCCACACUGGGACUGAGACACGGCCCAGACUCCUACGGGAGGCAGCAGUAGGGAAUCUUCGGCAAUGGACGGAAGUCUGACCGAGCAACGCCGCGUGAGUGAAGAAGGGUGUCGGAUCGUAAAGCUCUGUUGUAAGAGAAGAACGAGUGUGAGAGUGGAAAGUUCACACUGUGACGGUAUCUUACCAGAAAGGGACGGCUAACUACGUG
rnacentral:rRNA from 1 species